GCAUCGAUAGCUCAGUGGCAGAGCGGUUUUACAUGCGGCCCGGGUUCGAUCUCCGGUCGAUGCA